CUAAUUCUAAAUCUUAUUAGGUAGAAUCUGCCCAAUGAUGAUUUAAAUGGCCGCAGUAUCCUGACUGUGCUAAGGUAGCAUAAUAAUUUGCCUUUUAAUUGGAGGCUAGAAUGAAGGAUCUGACGUGAGGAGCUCUGUCUCACCCUGAAAUCCAAUAAAUUCCCCUUUUGGUCAAAAGGCCAAAAUAAAUCGGAGGGACGACAAGACCCUAAAAGCUUUACUAGUUUCUUUAUCCCAUAAUAAGAUAAAACAACUAGAUUUAACUGGGGCGGUUUUACUCUUACUCAAACGAAUUUUUAUUAAACCGCACUGAGCGAAUUCUACCAACGCAUAUAUGAUAUACAUUUAAGUUACUUUAGGGAUAACAGCACAAUUGCCUGAUAGAGCCCCUAUCGACCAGGCAGAUUGUGACCUCGAUGUUGAAUUGAAGUUUCCUACUUAGAGUAGAAAUUAAGAAAGGGAGUCUGUUCGACUUUUAAACCUUCACA
rnacentral:rRNA from 1 species